CUACUUACUCAGAAAAUUUAUAAAUGUAUGAAGAAAUAAAUUAUAAAAAGUAGUUUCAUUGAAUUAGUAGCCAACAACAAAAUCAAAUUUUUAGAAGCCAGAAACUUGUCUCAAAGAGCCAAAUUGGCUACAAGGAGCCAUAUCUGGCAACACUGAAUUGCUUAGUGCCGUUUACUUUUAGUUUGUGCUACUCAAAAGUGACAUGUGCCCCUUUAGAAACAUGACCGCCCCACAACAAAUGUAAGUAGACAUUCUCGUCAAAAUCUAGUCAUUUCUGUAAAUAAACCUUUUUAUACCAAAACCACCCACAUGGCUUUUAAUCCCACCCUGUGACAGUUGUAAAGAAAGCAUUUUGUUUGUUAGUAGAUAGGCUGUGCCGGUUCAGGUUCACUGCGCAUGCGCCAUUUGAGGGAUUCUCCGACGCAAAAUAUAGGAAUCCCCUGAUGUUGAUGCUAUUUUCGGAUUAUGAUGUCAUGGCUUGUCUUCGUCUGCGCUCCGAUUCAAUAGUUUUAUUACAAAUGUGACAAAUAUUGCACUCUUUAUACAGAGUGUUUGUGAACUGCGCAAAAUUUAACCACUAAAAGAAUGCGAUAUGAAAAAGUAAAAUACCUGCCGAGUAAACAAAGUACCAAAUUUGGUACGAAAGUACCAACUGGAACAACAUUGGGUAGCGAUGGCCUGAAAAACACCACAUUCCUCAAAUUCCAAUUCCAAGGGGAGAAAGCUGAUUCCAGAUGGCGGACUUUUCUAUUGUUUUACCCUUAUUAAAUCGCUAAUUCCCUAUAUUGCCAACCAGAAAAAACCGAAUCUAAAUCAAAUUCACAAGAGGAAGCCCUAUGCUCGAAAUCGCCGAUCUUCGAUACCGCUCGAGGUACAUAUCAAUUCAUCCUCAUUUUAAUCAAACAUAAUCGUCACUGAUUGAAUCAAACCUGCAAACUUCAUACCACAUACAACUCCAAAUCUCAUUCAGCAUAAGACACGAGAAAAUUAUCAAGAAUCAAGCAGAUAAACCCGAAGAAAGCUCCAUUAUUCCACGGAAACGCUUUUACUAAUUAAUUGGCGAUUGAGGAACAAAUACGUCGAUUAUAUCACAUCUCGAUAUCAACCAGAGACUUUUGCAAACCUCUGUCAAUCCUUCGAUGAUAUUAACGCAUUGUUUAGCAACUUUAAACAAUAUUUCUACUUAGUCACGUAGGCCACAGAUCCAGUGACGUCACGCAACCCCUAUAAAUAGUUGCCGCUUGGAAGAGGAAAAUCUGGUAUGCGUAAAAGCAUUUCCCCUCUCCAAAAAAAAAAAAAAAGGAAAA